AUAUUUCUGUCAAUUUCUUCGCGUUAAAAACCGGACUUUUAUUUUGACGGGAUGUAGUGAAGAGCUUUGAGUUUCAGUGUAUUUGACAAUGUUUUUUCUCAAAUAAAAUGAUGAAAUGCACAUUAAGCGCUAUCUCAGAUCAACCUUUGAUAUGUUUGUGUUCAUGUCCUCAGAUAACGAGACGGCAAACACUGAAAAAACAAUAAGAGCGUCGCCCAUACUCAAGUAUGUAGUACACAAAAAAGCGCAGCUCAUUCACACCGGCUGACACGCAAAACAGAUAUUUUUAUACAGCAGUCUUUUUUGCGCUUUAAUAUUCAAAGACCCCGCCUAGACCAUGUCGCGAUUUGAUUUAUUGUACAGCUCUGCUUUCAUUUUAUUCAUCAGUCCAUCAAAUCGCGCGUUUUUACCUGACAUCGCUGCAUUAUACUGUACAUUUCCUUUUUCAUGACUGGAUUCUGGGAGCUCUCCAUCACGCACAUCACACGACCUAAGUUAUAAACGGAACAUACCCGCAUCUACACGGAUGGUGUUCUCGAAUAUAGUUCGAUGUGUUUCCUCCUUUUGCAGGUAGGCCUACUUUGCGUCCGCAUUUUUUUGGCAAACUGGAUAUCUACACUCGAGGACAAUCCCGCGUUUGUUUUCCCAUACUGCAAAUUGUAACUUAUUUUUCAACGAGGGAUAGAGAUUAGAGAUAGCAACUUCUGACAUUGUCUCUGCUGUAUGUGUGUGGGAGGAGCAGGUUUAGAGUGUAGUGAAGUGGAAAGUUGCUGUCUAUGCGCAAGUGAGAUUCCGCGUCUUAUUUUUUUCAAUACCGUACGUACGUGUUCAUACCGUGAUACCAUACCGUCACACCGGUAUAUCGUUACAACCCUAAUGUGAAAUAUCUCACAUGCAACUUGACCUUCUUCAGAGAGCCCACAUUUUAACCAGAAGGCCUGCAGACAAGGGAAGGAUGUGCCCUGGACUUGAACUCCGGCAGGAUUUUUUUCCCCUUCCAAAGCCUGUGGCACCUGUACCAACCGCAGUACCAUCUGCUUGGCAUUCAGCGUCCAAUAACACAUUUCUGGGAUAAACUCCGACACACACACGCGCGCACACAGAGGUCGGUGGGCGGUGGAAAGGUUGUGGGCCGACUGCUGGAUUGGAAUGACAGAGGAUUGGCCUGGAAACUUCAUUCCUCGAGACUUGACUGAAUGAGCGACGGUCUGUCAGAUGUGACCGGGAAGGUUUCGGUGCAGGUGUGUGAAAUAAUGGACUCCAGUGACACAUCAGACCUCUUAAAGAGACGCUUCUGCAGGUUUUCAUUAGGCCCGUGUGUGUGAUCCACCAAUACGACCAUAUUAAAUACUUGUUAUGAAAGCCACAGUGAUGCAUUUAAAACUCAGAUGACUUUAAUUAAUGAAUUAAACUGAUGAUGGAUCAAUACUGCGAGCUACAGACUCUGAUCACAGUGAUAUUUAUCAUCAGUUUCUUUUAAAAAUGAACCCACCUUUUAACCUUAUCAACUCGGAGCCACAUUGACAAACAUUAAACAUUACAGAUGAAUAUGCAUUGUGUCUGAAGUGCAAUCAUUGGGAAUAAACUCUCCAUUCUUCUCCUCUCAUGCAAAACAGUCUGUUGCAGCACUACAGGUGUUUGGGAAAGUGCGGCAGUGUUUUUUUUUUUUUGUUGGCAUGAAGCGUUUGAGGAGAAAAUAUCAGCCAAGGGCUCCAUUGUUUCAGUCAGCUAAAGUCAUAUUAGCAAACACAUUU